rnacentral:misc_RNA from 1 species
AACGCACAUUGCGCCCAUUAGUAUUCUAGUGGGCAUGCCUGUUCGAGCGUCAUUUCGACCUUCAAGCCCUAGCUGCUUGGUGUUGGGAGCCUAUCUCCGGAUAGCUCCUGAAAAGCAUUGGCGGAGUCGCGGUGACCCCAAGCGUAGUAAUUCUUCUCGCUUUAGGUGUGUCACGGCUGACGUCUUGCCGUUAAACCCCCAAUUUUUUAAAUGGUUGACCUCGGAUCAGGUAGGAAUACCCGCUGAACUUAA